UACGGGAGGCAGCAGUGGGGAAUAUUGCACAAUGGGCGCAAGCCUGAUGCAGCCAUGCCGCGUGUAUGAAGAAGGCCUUCGGGUUGUAAAGUACUUUCAGUCGUGAGGAAGGUGUUAAGGUUAAUAACCUUAGCAAUUGACGUUAGCGACAGAAGAAGCACCGGCUAACUCCGUGCCAGCAGCCGCGGUAAUACGGAGGGUGCGAGCGUUAAUCGGAAUUACUGGGCGUAAAGGGCACGCAGGCGGUUAAUUAAGUUGGAUGUGAAUCCCCGGGCUUAACCUGGGAAUGGCAUUCAAGACUGGUUAGCUAGAGUCUUGUAGAGGGGGUAGAAUUCCAUGUGUAGCGGUGAAAUGCGUAGAGAUGUGGAGGAAUACCGGUGGCGAAGGCGGCCCCUGGACAAAGGCUGACGCUCAUGUGCGAAAGCGUGGGGAGCAAACAGGGAUUAGAUACC
rnacentral:rRNA from 1 species